rnacentral:rRNA from 1 species
AGUGAACGCUGGCGGUAGGCCUAACACAUGCAAGUCGAACGGCAGCACAGUAAGAGCUUGCUCUUACGGGUGGCGAGUGGCGGACGGGUGAGGAAUACAUCGGAAUCUACUUUUUCGUGGGGGAUAACGUAGGGAAACUUACGCUAAUACCGCAUACGACCUACGGGUGAAAGCAGGGGAUCUUCGGACCUUGCGCGAUUGAAUGAGCCGAUGUCGGAUUAGCUAGUUGGCGGGGUAAAGGCCCACCAAGGCGACGAUCCGUAGCUGGUCUGAGAGGAUGAUCAGCCACACUGGAACUGAGACACGGUCCAGACUCCGACGGGAGGCAGCAGUGGGGAAUAUUGGACAAUGGGCGCAAGCCUGAUCCAGCCAUACCGCGUGGGUGAAGAAGGACUUCGGGUUGUAAAGCCCUUUUGUUGGGAAAGAAAAGCAGCAGGUUAAUACCCCGCUGUUCUGACGGUACCCAAAGAAUAAGCACCGGCUAACUUCGUG